GGCACCUCGAUGUCGGCUCAUCGCAUCCUGGGGCUGUAGUCGGUCCCAAGGGUUGGGCUGUUCGCCCAUUAAAGCGGUACGCGAGCUGGGUUCAGAACGUCGUGAGACAGUUCGGUCCCUAUCCGUCGUGGGCGUAGGAAAUUUGAGAGGAGCUGUCCUUAGUACGAGAGGACCGGGAUGGACAUACCUCUGGUGUACCAGUUGUCGUGCCAACGGCAUAGCUGGGUAGCUAUGUAUGGACGGGAUAAGUGCUGAAAGCAUCUAAGCAUGAAGCCCCCCUCAAGAUGAGAUUUCCCAACUUCGGUUAUAAGAUCCCUCAAAGAUGAUGAGGUUAAUAGGUUCGAGGUGGAAGCGUAGCGAUACGUGGAGCUGACGAAUACUAAUCGAUCGAAGACUUAAUCAA
rnacentral:rRNA from 1 species